rnacentral:rRNA from 1 species
UACGUAGGGUGCGAGCGUUGUCCGGAUUCACUGGGCGUAAAGGGUGCGUAGGCGGUCGGGUAAGUCUGAUGUGAAAUCUCACAGCUUAACUGUGAAACUGCAUUGGAUACUAUCCGGCUCGAGGAAUGGAGGGGAGACUGGAAUACUUGGUGUAGCAGUGAAAUGCGUAGAUAUCAAGUGGAACACCAGUGGCGAAGGCGAGUCUCUGGACAUUUCCUGACGCUGAGGCACGAAAGCCAGGGGAGCAAACGGG